AUUGUACGCUGGCGGCAGGCUUAACACAUGCAAGUCGAGCGGGGUGAUGGUGCUUGCACUAUCACUUAGCGGCGGACGGGUGAGUAAUGCUUAGGAAUCUGCCUAUUAGUGGGGGACAACAUCUCGAAAGGGAUGCUAAUACCGCAUACGUCCUACGGGAGAAAGCAGGGGAUCACUUGUGACCUUGCGCUAAUAGAUGAGCCUAAGUCGGAUUAGCUAGUUGGUGGGGUAAAGGCCUACCAAGGCGACGAUCUGUAGCGGGUCUGAGAGGAUGAUCCGCCACACUGGGACUGAGACACGGCCCAGACUCCUGCGGGAGGGAGAAGUGGGGAAUAUUGGACAAUGGGGGGAACCCUGACCCAGCCAUGCCGCGUGUGUGAAGAAGGCCUUAUGGUUGUAAAGCACUUUAAGCGAGGAGGAGGCUCUUUUGGUUAAUACCCAAGAUGAGUGGACGUUACUCGCAGAAUAAGCACCGGCUAACUCUGUGCCAGCAGCCGCCGUAA
rnacentral:rRNA from 1 species